rnacentral:rRNA from 1 species
GACGAACCGUGCGAACGUUGUUCGGAUUCACUGGGCUUAAAGGGCGCGUAGGCGGAUGGUCACGUCGGGGGUGAAAUCUCACGGCCCAACCGUGAAAUAGCCUCCGAUACGGGCUGUCUCGAGGGAGGUAGGGGCACGCGGAACUUCCGGUGGAGCGGUGAAAUGCGUAGAUAUCGGAAGGAACGCCGGUGGCGAAAGCGGCGUGCUGGGCCUUCUCUGACGCUGAGGCGCGAAAGCCAGGGGAGCGAACGGG